CGCAGCCUGAUCCAGCCAUGCCGCGUGGGUGAAGAAGGCCUUCGGGUUGUAAAGCCCUUUUGUUGGGAAAGAAAAGCAGUCGGUUAAUACCCGAUUGUUCUGACGGUACCCAAAGAAUAAGCACCGGCUAACUUCGUGCCAGCAGCCGCGGUAAUACGAAGGGUGCAAGCGUUACUCGGAAUUACUGGGCGUAAAGCGUGCGUAGGUGGUUGUUUAAGUCCGUUGUGAAAGCCCUGGGCUCAACCUGGGAAUUGCAGUGGAUACUGGGCAACUAGAGUGUGGUAGAGGAUGGCGGAAUUCCCGGUGUAGCAGUGAAAUGCGUAGAGAUCGGGAGGAACAUCUGUGGCGAAGGCGGCCAUCUGGACCAACACUGACACUGAGGCACGAAAGCGUGGGGAGCAAACAGGAUUAGAUACCCUGGUAGUCCACGCCCUAAACGAUGCGAACUGGAUGUUGGGUGCAACUUGGCACGCAGUAUCGAAGCUAACGCGUUAAGUUCGCCGCCUGGGGAGUACGGUCGCAAGACUGAAACUCAAAGGAAUUGACGGGGGCCCGCACAAGCGGUGGAGUAUGUGGUUUAAUUCGAUGCAACGCGAAGAACCUUACCUGGUCUUGACAUCCACGGAACUUUCCAGAG
rnacentral:rRNA from 1 species